UAAUACAUGCAAGUGGAACGCAGAGGUCAGGUGCUUGCCUUGGACUGAUGAGUUGCGAACGGGUGAGUAACGCGUAGGUAACCUACCUGAUAGCGGGGGAUAACUAUUGGAAACGAUAGCUAAUACCGCAUAAAAGUGAAUGACACAUGUCAUUGGCUUGAAAGAAGCAAACGCUUCACUAUGAGAUGGACCUGCGUUGUAUUAGCUAGUUGGUAGGGUAAAGGCCUACCAAGGCGACGAUACAUAGCCGACCUGAGAGGGUGAACGGCCACACUGGGACUGAGACACGGUCCAGACUCCUACGGGAGGCAGCAGUAGGGAAUCUUCGGCAAUGGGGGGAACCCUGACCGAGCAACGCCGCGUGAGUGAAGAAGGUUUUCGGAUCGUAAAGCUCUGUUGUUAGAGAAGAACAGUGAUGGGAGUGGAAAGUCCAUCAUUUGACGGUAACUAACCAGAAAGGGACGGCUAACUACGUGCCAGCAGCCGCGGUAAUACGUAGGUCCCGAGCGUUGUCCGGAUUUAUUGGGCGUAAAGCGAGCGCAGGCGGUUUAAUAAGUCUGAAGUUAAAGGCAGUGGCUUAACCAUUGUAUGCUUUGGAAACUGUUAAACUUGAGUGCAGAAGGGGAGAGUGGAAUUCCAUGUGUAGCGGUGAAAUGCGUAGAUAUAUGGAGGAACACCGGUGGCGAAAGCGGCUCUCUGGUCUGUAACUGACGCUGAGGCUCGAAAGCGUGGGGAGCAAACAGGAUUAGAUACCCUGGUAGUCCACGCCGUAAACGCUGAGUGCUAGGUGUUAGGCCCUUUCCGGGGCUUAGUGCCGUA
rnacentral:rRNA from 1 species